ensembl:lncRNA
AUGCACUGAAAAAUUGAGCUGGAACACCAACAGCCAAAUGUUUUUGUGCUGCAGUUCAGUGAAGCCACAGUGAUUUAGGCAGGGCUCAGAGCAGAGCCCGUGCAGGGCCACGUUCCCUGGUGGCUGCCUGACACCAGGGGCCUGCAUUAAGCACAAACCUCAAAAAAGCGGCUGAGGGAGAGAGGAGCAAACCAGGCACAUUGUCUGCAGGGCUGCUAAUGAAUGACCUGGCUGAUGAGCAGUGAAAGCCAAGCUCUCUUAGGAGGCAGGCAAGUCACUUCUCUUGUAGAUGGAGAUUUGACUUUCAUUGUUUGCCCAUCGCUUUUUUCCCUGGCCUAAGGCAGGAAAGAAAUAUUUUUCAAUCUGUGUGUGGGAGGGGACAUUUACUACAAAUCCUAAGCAUUCAUUUUCCCUUUUACCAACUAUUUUUCUAUCUUGCUUUUCUUUCAGGGUUUGGUUUUGGAUCACCUAACACAUCUUCCUCUGGAUUUAGUGGAUGGAGAAGCUAGGGACAUCCUGAACUCUUCCUGUAGCUCCUGCAUUCAUGAGUCACCCACAUGAUUGAAACCCAACCAGCUUUUCUUCUAAAUACGAGUUCUCAGACUUUUUUUUUUUUUAAGGAAAAAGAUUUCGCUUAUUUUUAUGCAAUACUUGCUCUCGCUCUAUAUUAAACUAUUUUAUCUGGCUUGAUGUUUUCUGUGGUGGAAGGGUUUAUUAUCUCCCUGCAUCAGGAGGAGAUGGAUGUGUGCUGAGCUCAGCUUUUUCUUGUCCAUCCCUUGCCUGCACAGGGCAGUAGCUCCAGUUGGUUCCUGACAUAAACCAGCACAUUUUUCAUUAAUAGAAUGCCUGAUUAUCCCAGGCUCUGAAGAAGGGGCUGAGGUUUGCCCUGCUAAUUUUAAGUCUAGGAUGGGGCACAUGCUUAUCUCAGUGAAGUGCUGAAACUGAGUCAUGUGUGAGCCAGAGGCUUAGUGGAGAAAUAGGAAAUUAUCUAGGAAGAAGCUGGCAGCGUGCAGAGCACGUUCCCAUGGCAGUAACAUUCAGCAAAGAGGUGGGAAGUAAAAGCUCUCCUAUUUUUACCUUUCUGUAAAUCUUACAGAACUCAAAAAUUGGAACUCAGGUUCUGGGGAAAACUUCUGGCCCUGGAAGCAGACACAUGACCUCCAUCUAGAGCCAUUAGUGAUUUUGCUUUUUUUGGCUUUGAUUGUUGGAUUCUACUGUUGGAUACAUUUUUUUUCUAACAGAGGUGAGAUUGUGCUUUUUUUCCUGUAGAUUUUGGCUUUAGUCAAUUUCAUUUGUGAAAUUCUCAUGUGUUUAUACUUGAACAUACUAAACAAUUUUUUUAAAGAAUGCCCCCAAGUCUUCUGGCCUAACACUUUUUCUAUUUGAUGCAUCUGACCUUCAUGAAACCUCCAAAUGAUGCUCUGUGGAUAGCAUGUUUGAAAUAGCAGCUCCUGUGUUAGCAGAUUGGAUGGGGUUUUCUCCUUGGUCCUAUUAGGAUGUUUUGGGGAGUUCUGCAUUUUCUGUUUUCAGCAGAAACAUUCUAAUGUUUCUUUUUCUCCUUUUCUAUCACAUGAUACGAUGACAGGUGACAUUUUCUGGUUUGGUGGACAUGUGAUCAUUUUUGGGAAUUGUAAAUAAUUGGUAACUUCUUGUUUUCAUAUCCAUUAUAAACUACUUAUAUUUUUCAACAGUUCCUGAAGAAAUUGUUCUUUUUUUUCAAAUCAGCCUAAAAAUGUUUUCCUA